rnacentral:lncRNA from 8 species
UGAGGACUAUUUCCAAACAUCCUGCCUUAAUAAAGAUAUUACAAACUAGCGUUCUGUUCAGUAAUGUAAGUCUGGUAACUCUGGCUUUAGCAAUGUUAGUCUUUGAAAAGAGAAAAUGCAAAGGCAACGGCUGCUAAGAAUAAUUCUCUAUGCAGGGUAUGAGUUGUGUUGUGGCGUGUGGUUAUGUGGUGUUGCAAUGAUACUGCUUUGCCCAUAGGGUGCAUUUCAAAACAUCCUACCUCAAUGGUAGAAGUUUCAAAGUUGACUAAUUAUGGCACAAGCUGUGAGGCUACACGGUAACGGAAAAGCAAAAGUCUUGACAGAUUCACGCCUUCACAAAAGAGACAGGUAAGAGAUACUCACAAAAUAAAACAACAUAUUUGAUGUAUUGAAUACUGUCUACUUUUAUCAACAACUAAUUUGAGUGCUCAGUGUUUAUUUCCACGCCACUUGACAACCAUUCAUUUAUGAUUUCAGCAUUUGACAUAAAGUCAAUCAAGUAAGAACUGCUAUCUAUGCUGAGUUUUUAUCUUAUUCAUUAUUUAUUAGUGGCACAUUGUAUAGAAGUGAAUAUAAACUGCAACUGGUAUAUUUAAAUGUCAGAGUCUUUGCUGUCUGCAAUUUGGUAAAUAAAAACUUUGAACCUGGAACCAUCUAUCAAAUAUUUUAAGUCUGAUUGUUAGUCCAUUGAAAUGACUGUUCAGAGACCAAUCCUGUGUCUAGUCCUUUUAGAGUUAAAGGACUCACAAAAGAUGGAGACUUCACAGAGGUCUCCCGUUCAGUCAUCCUUUCUGAUCUCAAUAAUAGGUACAGUAGUUACCUCUCAUAUAACAAAUGAGUGUUCAGUGUUUUCAGCAUGUUGUCGAGUUUGUGAUCUCUCACUCUCUCUGUCUACAGUUGUGCUGAAUAUCAUCGUAUGGAUGUUUCUAAUGUCAGCAGUGGGAUUAGGGGCUAUGCACCUACAUGACUGCCCCUUACAGCCUUAUAUCCCCAUCUACCUGCUGGUGUUCGGGGUGACGUCCAUCGCCUCCCUGCUCCUAUCCUACCUCAAUAACACACUGGAGACUGGCUUCCUGAGCCUACUGUGUUCCUCCUGCAUCUUCCUGCUCCAGCUCUUCAACCUCGGCUGGUUCAUCACAGGGAGUGAGUGGGUGUACUCCAUAUAUCCCCCGAACUAUGACUCGAAUGGUGGAGAGAAGUACUGUCAGAGGAAGAUAUACCUGUUUGCUUUCUGGUUCAACAGCCUGGGCAGCAUCUGUAUGGCUGUGGGGUUCUUCUGUGCAGUGUACUUCCUCUUCCUUACCUGUGUGAAAAUGGCAUUUAGGGGACACCAUUUACUCCAUUCACAUAAGAGAUCGUAUGGUGUGGACGCUUGA